rnacentral:rRNA from 1 species
UACAGAGGUCUCAACCGUUGUUCGGAUUCAUUGGGCGUAAAGGGUGCGUAGGCGGUCGUGCAAGUCGGAUGUGAAAUCUCAGGGCUCAACCCUGAAACUGCAUUCGAUACUGCGUGGCUAGAGUGCUGGAGAGGAGACUGGAAUUUACGGUGUAGCAGUGAAAUGCGUAGAUAUCGUAAGGAAGACCAGUGGCGAAGGCGAGUCUCUGGACAGCAACUGACGCUGAGGCGCGAAGGCCAGGGGAGCAAACGGG